CAUCAUCCUGACUCAGGCUUAAACCUUAGUUUUACAAAUAUGCAACAUUUUAAAGCUUUUUCACAAAAAUGAAACUGAAACAGUUUUGCACCUUUUGCACAUGUUGCUUCUCAGUCUCAAAUUUUAAAAGGAGGAAAAAAAGAAGACAUUGUGUAAAUUUUCAGCGACCUCGUUAUUGGGACAAAGGAGGCUGCAGAUCGAUUCGUUACACCUUUUUAGCGAGGCUUUUGGCAAAGGGGAGGGGCUCUGGAGCCACUGUAGGCACCAUUAAUAGCCUCCUCUCCGUCCUAACUAUUAUACACGAUAAAGUGUUUAUAAAGAGCGACCAAGUAGAGCAGUAAAAGUGUUUCAAAUGAGACUGAGAUGGUGGUAAAGAAGAGAGGAGUAGCAGGACUAGAGGGCGGAUCAGAUUAUUUUCUCUUUAAAUAAUCCCUGGGACUGCGUCAGAAUUACAGUUUUGCGCAUUACGCACCGGACUUUUCCCCAUUUUUCUGCCUUCGGUUUUAUGGAUUCUCAUCCAAACGGAGGCGAAAACUUUACCCGGUUCAAAUUCUGCUCUCACACAAUCAUGCAGAGAAAAGGAUAUGCUGCAGAGAAGUCCUGUAUGCAGGGUGUCAGAUCAGGUGGGGAAAAAAAGUCCAUACUGUCAUAUUUUGAUUUGUAAACUCCUCUGUCUGAUAUGUAAUUAAAAAAACUUGUGAUUAAAACAGAAGUAGAUCAAAAUUAAAAUGUCUUCCUUGUCACAUGUGGAGCUGUUUUCCACAUUUUGUGUCAAUUUUUUUUUCUUCCUUUUGUUUAACCAUCUAUAACUAAAAGAAAUAUUUGUAAAGCCUAACGAGCAUUUAAAGUGAAAGAAUAAAGCCAACAUGUUUCUGCCUUGA